GUGGGGAAUAUUGGACAAUGGGCGAAAGCCUGAUCCAGCCAUGCCGCGUGUGUGAAGAAGGUCUUCGGAUUGUAAAGCACUUUAAGUUGGGAGGAAGGGCAGUAAGUUAAUACCUUGCUGUUUUGACGUUACCGACAGAAUAAGCACCGGCUAACUUCGUGCCAGCAGCCGCGGUAAUACGAAGGGUGCAAGCGUUAAUCGGAAUUACUGGGCGUAAAGCGCGCGUAGGUGGUUUUGUACGUUGGAGGUGAAAUCCCCGGGCUCAACCUGGGAACUGCCUCCAAAACUGCAUGACUAGAGUACGGUAGAGGGUAGUGGAAUUUCCUGUGUAGCGGUGAAAUGCGUAGAUAUAGGAAGGAACACCAGUGGCGAAGGCGACUACCUGGACUGAUACUGACACUGAGGUGCGAAAGCGUGGGGAGCAAACAGGAUUAGAUACCCGGGUAGUCC
rnacentral:rRNA from 1 species